rnacentral:rRNA from 1 species
UACGUAGGGGGCUAGCGUUGUCCGGAUUUAUUGGGCGUAAAGAGCGUGUAGGCGGCCAGGUAGGUCUGCUGUGAAAACUCGAGGCUUAACCUCGAGAUGUCGGCGGAAACCAUCUGGCUAGAGUCCGGAAGAGGAGAGUGGAAUUCCCGGUGUAGAGGUGAAAUUCGUAGAUAUCAGGAGGAACACCGAUGGCGAAGGCAGGUCACUGGGCCGCAACUGACGCUGAGGAGCGAAAGCAUGGGGAGCGAACAGG